CAGUUGGUUCGAUUUCUCGAACACUACAACUCGGUGACCUUCUCUUUGCAGCUCACGCGCCGUCACAAUACCCGAUGCGCCGGCUCCGAUUACUGCUACUUUUCUGGACUCUGCCAUUGGAGGAGAAGACUACUGAGCUGAAAAAGCAGAGUUUUGGAGAAAAAAAACUUUAUUUUUAAUCUUUUGCAAUAAGUUCAAACACGUUUAAUAUUCUAAAUUACCAAUCGAAAUAAUUCGAAUUUGAGUCAUGAGUAUGAAAAAAUCUUUGCUUCAAAUUUUGUACAAGGUAAAUUCAAAUUUUAUAAACUUCAAUACGAAUAUCUCAAGUGAAAAAUUAAAAAGAGAGUUAUAAUUUAUAUAAGAUUUAAGUCAAAGCUAAAAUACGGAAACAAUUUAAUAGUAUUGUUCAUUGAAUAUGAUUUCUUACUCAUUAUUAUAGAAUAUGACAUUGUAGCAUUAUUACUUGAACUAAUAAUUUAUUGUUCAAACUUUAGUAAUUAAAUAUACGAUUCGACACACUAAAUUUGGUAUAAAUUCUAUUUCAUAAAAAAUAAAUUGUAAACACUAACCAAUCUAACAGAAUCAAUUUGCAAUAAUGAUGGUUAAUUCGUCAAAACUCACUAAAUUUGGUAUAAAUUCUAUUUCAUAAAAAAUAAAUUUUAAACACUAACCAAUCUAACAGAAUCAAUUUGCGAUAAUGAUGGUUAAUUAGUCAAAAUUAACGGACAAUUAUUCAGCACACUUAAAUCUAGUGGAUGGGAUUCCAUAUUCAUGAAAAGUCAGGUUUGAACCAUGUUACGGAACCAAGACAACAUAUUUUACUAAUAAUAAGAAAGGGUUAAGGGCCUCCAACGCCUAUAAAUAGAAGCUUCUUUCUCUAUUUGGCAAAGCAAAGGGAGAUAUGGAUCCAGCUACCACUGAAAGACUUUCUCAAAUUAAUCAAAGAAUUCUAAAUGUUGAAUCAUUAACUUAUAACUUCAUGUAAAAUGAAAUGAAACCAUUUCAAAUCUAAAAUUAAUGUAUAUAUAAAUAAGAAAAAAAAUGGCAAAAUAUAAUCUUAGAUAGGAGGAGAAGGAGGAAGAAGAAGCGAAAAUGAAGUCGUCUUAUUUAGUCGAUAAGUACUUUUCAAAUGUAUAAAGUGAUUGUCUUAGUUGUUAUAUGAUCGAGAUGAUCCUCAAUGCAUAUGAUAAUAUCGAUGAGAUUGUUUCUCUCUUAAUUGAAAUCUCGAGUUCAAGUCUAAAUCUUUAAUAAAAAGUAUUUUUCCUAAAAUGAGACUUUACAUGGUUAAAUCUUCUAUUUUAGUUCACAUGAAAGAAAAAACAAAGCAAAACAAAACUAAAACUCAUUAAAAA
rnacentral:lncRNA from 1 species